UACGAAGGGGGCUAGCGUUGUUCGGAAUUACUGGGCGUAAAGCGCGCGCAGGCGGUCUCUUAAGUCAGUGGUGAAAUCCCGGAGCUCAACUCCGGAACUGCCAUUGAAACUGUUAGACUUGAGUACGAGAGAGGUGAGUGGAAUUCCCAGUGUAGAGGUGAAAUUCGUAGAUAUUGGGAAGAACACCAGUGGCGAAGGCGGCUAUCUGGACCGGUACUGACGCUGAGGUGCGAAAGCGUGGGGAGCAAACAGG
rnacentral:rRNA from 1 species